UCGCCUGUUUUACAAAAACAUGGUCUUUUGUUUAUAUAAAAGAUCUGACCUGCCCUAUGAUUUAUUUUAAAUGGCUGCAGUAUUUUGACUGUACAAAGGUAGCAUAAUCAUUUGUCUUUUAAUUGAAGGCUGGUAUGAAUGGUUGGAUGAAAAAUAUACUUUCUUUUUUUUAUAUAAAAAAUUUAAUUUUUUGGUCAAAAAGCCAAAAUAUUUUUAUAGGACGAGAAGACCCUAUAGAACUUUAUUUUCUAUAUAUAUAAAUUUUAUUGAUUUUUAUAAAAUUAUAUAUUAAUGUUAAUUUUGUUGGGGUGACAGAAAAAAUUAUAUAACUUUUUCUAUUUUAAACAUUUAUUUAUGUUUUUUUGAUCUUUUAUUAAAAAAGUAGGAUUAAGUUACCUUAGGGAUAACAGCGUUAUUUUCUUUGAGAGUUCUUAUUGAUAAGAAAGUUUGCGACCUCGAUGUUGGAUUAAAAUAAGUGGCAGGGGUAGAAUAUUGCUUUACUAGGUCUGUUCGACCUUUAAAUUUUUACAUGAUCUAGUUUCCAACCGGGAAAAG
rnacentral:rRNA from 1 species